rnacentral:rRNA from 1 species
CCCCGUAAGGGUAAUAAAUCUGGAGUAGUAACUGAUAUAUUCUAAAAAUUUGAAAAAUUUGGCGGUGGUUUAGUCUUGUCAGAGGAACCUGUCUUUUAAACGAUACACCACGAAAUAUCUUACUUGAGUUCGUGCAGUAUGUAUACCAUCAUUAUUAGGUAAUUUUUAUAGAAUAAAUUACUGAAAAAUGUCGAUAAUGUUGAAUAUAUUAGAUCAAGGUGCAGCUAAUGCUCAAGUUAAGAUGGGUUACAAUAGUAUUUAUACUAUUACGGAUAAGUAAGUGAAACUUUACUUUGAAGGAGGAUUUGAUUGUAAUUUUAGUUUAAUAAGCUAAUUUGAUAUAAGCUCUAAAGCAUGUACACACCGCCCGUCACCCUCCAGAC